rnacentral:rRNA from 1 species
AGAACGAACGCUGGCGGCAUGCCUAACACAUGCAAGUCGAACGAGACCUUCGGGUCUAGUGGCGCACGGGUGCGUAACGCGUGGGAACCUGCCUUUAGGUUCGGAAUAACUCCCCGAAAGGGGUGCUAAUACCGAAUAAUGUCUUCGGACCAAAGAUUUAUCGCCUUUAGAUGGGCCCGCGUUGGAUUAGCUUGUUGGUGGGUAAAGGCCUACCAAGGCGACGAUCCAUAGCUGGUCUGAGAGGAUGAUCAGCCACACUGGGACUGAGACACGGCCCAGACUCCUACGGGAGGCAGCAGUGGGGAAUAUUGGACAAUGGGCGAAAGCCUGAUCCAGCAAUGCCGCGUGAGUGAUGAAGGCCUUAGGGUGUAAAGCUCUUUACCCGGAUGAUAAUGACAGUACCGGAGAAUAAGCUCCGGCUAACUCCGUAGCCAGCAGCCGC